rnacentral:misc_RNA from 1 species
GAUGAAGAACGUAGCGAAAUGCGAUACGUAAUGUGAAUUGCAAAUUCAGUGAAUCAUCGAGUCUUUGAACGCACAUUGCGCCCCCUGGUAUUCCGGGGGGCAUGCCUGUCCGAGCGUCAUUGCUGCCCUCAAGCACGGCUUGUGUGUUGGGCCCCGUCCUCCGAUCCCGGGGGACGGGCCCGAAAGGCAGCGGCGGCACCGCGUCCGGUCCUCGAGCGUAUGGGGCUUUGUCACCCGCUCUGUAGGCCCGGCCGGCGCUUGCCGAUCAACCCAAAUUUUUAUCCAGGUUGACCUCGGAUCAGGUAGGGAUACCCGCUGAUCUUAAGCAUAUCAAUAAGCGGAGGA